rnacentral:lncRNA from 1 species
AUAUCCGAGGUAGACCGUCUGCUGUAGGAGUUCAGAGUAGACCGCUCGUAGUAGAAGUUCGGAGUAGACCGCUCAUAGUAGAAGUUCGGCUCUCGUAGGAGCUCGGUUGGAAUCUUGAAGGUGGUCGACCAUCGUAGAAACUUGGAUGGAGUCUGAUUACUAUAGAAAUCUCACCGUUGGAGAAGCUCGGAUAUUGAUGAAGUCCGAAAGAAGUUCGGAGUAGGGUCAUC